rnacentral:pre_miRNA from 1 species
GGUAUAAUUGCUGGAUCAAAUGAUAAGUAUAUGUUUGAUUUUGUAAGAAACCGCCAUACUCUUUUCCAGAAUGGUUGGACCAUUUGACAUUCCCUUCAGCAAU